GAUCAAUCUAAAAUAACAAAAAUAUAAUACAUAGUGCAAUAAUGUAUUAUAAAAAUAUAAUACAUAGUGUAUAUACAAGAAGUAAGCCCCUAUAUAGGAUGUAGAGCCGUCCCAGGCUGUAUAUGAUGGGCAGGAGGGUGGCCGUCCUAGGCUCUAUAUGAUGGGCAGGAGGGUGGCCGUCCUAGGCUCUAUAUGAUGGGCAGGAGGCUGGCCGUCCUAGGCUCUAUAUGAUGGGCAGGAGGCUGGCCGUCCUAGGCUCUAUAUGAUGGGCAGGAGGGUGGCCGUCCUAGGCUCUAUAUGAUGCGCAAGAGGGAAGGGUCUACAUUCUGUGAGUCAUCCUAUAUAGGGGCUUACUUCUUGUAUAUACAGC